rnacentral:lncRNA from 1 species
GUUGUUGCUAUUUCUUGGGCCGCUCCCGAGGCAUAUGGAGGUUCCCAGGCUAGGGGUUGAAUCGGAGCUGUAGCCACCAGCCUACGCCAGAGCCACAGCAACGCGGGAUCCGAGCCACGUCUGCAACCUACACCACAGCUCAAGGCAACGCCGGAUCGUUAACCGACUGAGCAAGGGCAGGGACCGAACCCGCAACCUCAUGGUUCCUAGUCGGAUUCGUUAACCACUGCGCCACGAUGGGAACUCCAGCAGUCAACUUUUAAACAGUUAGCAUAUGUGUAUAUGAAUGUGUGUGCAUAUUUAAUACAUACAAUUUUGCAUAAGUCAUCAAUUUAGGAGUGAAGUUGUAUGAUACCAGCAAUUUACAUUCUAAUUGUUCGGUUAAAAAAAAGUGUAACAUACAUAGAAAUGCAAAAGAGACAAAAUAUAAACAACUGAUAUAUUUAGGAAAGGGUAGUAAUAUUUUCUAUUUUAUUCCUUCAAAUUUUAUGCAUGUUUGAAAUUAUUUAAAACAUAAACUUUUAGAAAAUACAGCUGCAUGUGUUUAUAUGAAACAUAAGUAAAAUAUAUACAGAAAAUAUAGAAGUAAAUGUAUGGAAAACAUACACAAAUAAGCCCUAAAUCAACAAAAACAAAAAACUGAUGUGUCUAAAAAUAUCAGACAAAAUAGACUUUAAGGAAAGAAAAAAAUAGUAGAAAGAAGUUUGUGAGUUAAAGGACACAAGUCUUCAGGAAUUCUGAAUGCUUAAAUCUAAAUUUACAUUCAUUUCAAAAUAUAAGCUCAAAUACAUAAGACAAAAAAAAAUGUCACCAGUACAGUUUUCCCUCAUUAUCUGGGGGGAUUGGUUCCAGGACCCCAGAGGAUACCAAAAUACACAUAUCCCUUAUAUGAAAUGAUGUAAUACUUGCAUAUAACUUAUACACAUCCACCCAUAUGCUUAAAAUCAUCUCUAGAUUGCUUAUGAUACCUUAUACAAUGUAAACGCUGUGUAGAGUUGUCUAUACAUAGCCAAUUCAAGUUUUGCUUUUUGGAAAUUUCUGAAAUUUAUUUUUUAUAUUUUCAACUUGUGGUUGGUUGAAAUCAAGGAUGCAGAAUCUAUGGAUAUAAGGGGUUCACUGAACAAGGAGAAAUCAGCAAAUUCACAGACACAGUGGAACAUGUUAAGUCUCUUUUCUAGGAAAUGGAUUGAUCAAGUAGACAAAAAAAUAGUAAAAUUAUGAAAGACUUGAGUGUAUAAGUCAUAUUCUUGAUAUAUAAAGGACAUGUAUAGAGCCCUGUAUCAAAUAAAUAGAACAUACACACGACUUGCAAGCUCUCAUAAAACAUUCAUUAAAAUUGAUUCCAUAAGACACAAAGGAUGUUUUCAACCAACAGGAAAUAAUCUAUGUCAUUCUCUGAUGACAACAAAAAGCCAAAGGAAAAGAAGAAAAAGAAAACAAAAACAGCCAAUCGCUACCCCCAUAUAUUUGCAAAUGAAAAAAAAAAAAAAGCAAAACAAGUAAAACAAAUACAUACUUAUUCUUGGAACUUAGCCAGCAAUUAACUCCUUGAAUGAUAUACUUGAUGAAAGGAAAAAACCUCUAGCCAAGAUUAUUUUAUCAGCAAGGCUCUCAUUCAGAUUUGAAGGAGAAAUCAAAAGCUUUACAGAUAAGCAAAAGCUAAGAGAAUUCAGCAACACUAAACCUUACAACAAAUACUAAAGGAACUUCUCUAGGCAGAAAAGAAAAGACAACAACAGGAAACCAAAAAUUCCACAAAUGACAAGGCUCACCAGUAAAGGUAUAUAUACAGUAAAGACUCAAAAUCAUCCAUGCACAAUUAUACCACCAAAAUCAGAAAUCAUGAGAAGAGGUGGGUACUAAUGCAGGACACUGGAGAUGAACUUGCAAUUAAGAGAACAACAACUUAAAACAUACAGACUCUUAUAUCAAAACUUCAAAUAACUGCAAACCAAAAAUCUACAAUUGAUACACAAACAAGGAAUCUCUGGAGAAGAAAUAUAUCUCAUAGUAAAUAAGUGCAUAAUCCACCAUGAAGGGGGUCAUUUGACAUCAUUCUUGGAAGGCUGAAGUCUUCUUACAUAUGAUUCUGAUUUCCUCUCCAUCAAAGAAUUUAUGAUAAUUAUAAUUAAAUAAUGCAUCUGUACAAUUAAAUAAUACAGUUCUACAAUUGUAUUAUUAAUAACCAUUUCUCUCCAUGCUACAGUGUAAGAUCUAUAAUGUCUUGUGUAUUAUAUCACCUAGAAUGGUGUAAUGCCUGUAUUGAAGAAUUAAUAAGAUGUAACAAAUUGUGAAGACAUAUUUAUAUAGUUACACUGUUUUUUUUAACCAGUUUAUGCAUUUUAUAUUUUACUUAUUUUCACAGGGUAUAUUAUUUUUGUUAUUCUUACCAGUUGUUAUUCUUUUUAUUAUGCUAUAUAAAAUAUUUAAUGAUAUAUAAGGCUUUCUUCUUUAUAAAUUUAAGUUGCAUAAUACACACAAUUUUAAUAUAAUGCUAAUUUUUAAAGAAAAAUUGAAAUGUAAUAGAUAAUACUAAAUAGUAAGAUGAAAGCCAUACAAAAUGGGAUAAAGUAUAGAAUAAAUUUCCUAUUUGUCUCAGCAUAUUUUCCAUUCCACUUCUCCAGAAGGAGUCACUUAAUCUGUUUCUUAAGAUCCAUGAUAUAAUAAUCUGUGUGAAUGUAAUUAUAUUUAAAUAUAUGUAUUUUAUUCUGUUAAAAAAAUAAAAUUUCAAAAAAAAAAGAAAUGGGAACAUUUCUCCUUGAAAAUAGAGAACUAUUACACAUUUAUGAAUUAUCUUACGGAUUUAGUAUUUCCUGUAAUUUAAAAUGUACUCUCUUAAAGUUUGAAUUCAGAUUAAUUGGUGGGUAAAUGCUUUCAAAUUUAAACAGAAAACUUUGUAAUAGCAUAAUAUUUCUUUCUUCUUAUCUUCACUUUUUUAAAUUUAGUUUUGUAGUCUCACUUUGUAAGUUUAAUUAAAGUCUUGUCUUGUGUUUAAAUACUUAAAGAAAAAAAAAGUGAUUUGGGAAGAGUAAAAAAAAAAGAAAGAAAACAAAAACAGCCAAUCCCUACCCCCAUAUAUUUGCAAAUGAAAAAAAAAAAAAAAAGCAAAACAAACAAAACAAAUACAUACUUAAUUCUUGGAACUUAGCCAG